CGGGGGCCGCUUGCAUCUGCUGCUUUGCUCCACCUGGAGCAACAAACAGACGCGAGUCGCUAGUUAAAACUGAAGGUAAGUACUUACCUAACGGUUCCUUCCUUCAGGCUUGUAGCGGGAGCGCCUGACUCCCGCUUGCCGCUGUUGCCUGCGUGAACGUAAUGCCGCGCAUUCGUGCUGAGUGGGUUCCUCACGUAGUCACGCACUUGACUCCGAAGUAAAAUAUAGUAUUUAGCCUGAUAGCCUGAUGGUCAAAAUAGUUCUUAAGUCUGGUGGUACUUGCAGCCAUGCCCCUGUAUCGUCUGCCUGACGGUAACAAGGAGAACAGUCUGUGUGCUGGGUGGCCGUGGUCCUUGAUGAUGCUGUGUGCCUUCCACAGGCACCGACAGUGGAAAAUGUCCUGAAUGGCCAGGAGACAGUUGCCAGUGAUGUGCUGUGCCGCCUUCUCCACUCUCUGUAGUGAUUUGCGGCUGUGGGCAGAACAGUUCCCGUACCAGACUGUGAUGCAACCCGUCAGCAGGCUCUCGAUGGUGCAUCUAUAGAUGUUUGUGAGGAUGCUGGCAUUCAUGCCAAACUACCUCAGUAUUGUCAGGAGAAAGAGCCGCUGGCGGGCUUUCUUAGUUAUUGUGUCCGUGUGCAGUGUCCAGGAGAGGUCCUCACUGAUGUACACACUGAGGAACUUGAAGCUGCUGACCCUUUCAAUGUCAACAUCACCGUAUGGAUGGGGUGGUGUCCACUCCCCUGCUGUCUCCUGUAGUCCAUGAUCAGCUCUUUAGUUUAACAGACAUUGAGAGAGAGGUUGUUCCUUAUGCACACGUCAAUAAAGUGAGUCUGGAAAAUGAAUGCAAGUUGUUAGAGUCCUGAUCGGUGACGACAACACCAGACCUUGUCCGGUUUGUAAGCUUCCUAUUUCUCAUCUGCAGAAUUGUCUGUCUUUAUCCAAAACCCCUCCACUGAAGAGAUUUGGAUCAACAAGACCGCUACUGUGGUGUGCGUGGUAAUGGGCGCUGAUCUGAGCCAGGUCCAAGUCUACUGGCAAGUGAGCGGAAGGGAGAGAACUACAGGGGCUGUGACCCGCCAACCGAGAGGAGAAAGUACCCAAGACAGAGUGAGCAGUAAACUCCGGAGCAGUGUGGAGGAGUGGACCAGCGGGGUGGAGGUUGUGUGCUCUGCCCAACGAUCUCCAUCAUCCUCACCAGUGUCAGCACGGACAGAAGGUGCCAAAGUUGAAACAAAAAGACCCAAGGUCAGACUGCUGCCUCCAGCUCACCAAGAGACCAAGCGAAGCCACACAGCCACCCUCGAGUGUGUGCUCUCUGGUUUCUACCCGGACCUCAUAAACGUCACUUGGGAGAAAGACGGAGCCCCAAUCUCCUCCACUACCAGCGCUACACCGACUGCUCUGGAGCAAGGGGGGACUUUCAGUGCCAGCCACUUCCUGACUGUGAGUUCAGAGGAUUGGAAGAAAGGCUCAGUCUUCGGCUGUACAGUGUCUCAUCCCCCGUCGAACACCAGUAUCAGCCGGGAAGUGAAAAGCUUUCAAGCCGGCACAGAAUUGACAGGUGAGGAAGGGAAGGUGGAGUCAGGGGACUUGGAUGGAGAUGACAACAUGCUCACAGUUGCUGCCUUCGCCAUCUUGUUCGUUAUCAGUUUCCUCUACAGUACCUUCGUCACUGUUGUCAAGGUGCAACAAUGACCAGCCGACACACACGCCACAUUCACUCAAGAGAUCACCAUGCAGCUGCUGACGUUGACAAAUGGAGUCUCCCUGUCUUUCACUCACUCACUCGACAAUCUGAGGCUACUGCUCUGCAAACGCUCAUUACAGGAGAUAAACUUGGAAAUGCACUGGGGAUGCUGGG